UGCAUGUAUGGCGAAUGGUAUUCGGUCGUGUUCUAUUGCUUAAAUGUCACAUGAGCAAACCUGCAGCACACAUCAAUAUUUGGUCAGAAUUAUUAGUGACAUAGAAGAAGAACAAAAGUACACAUAUAAAAUUGCUGACAGGACAAUGAGGUCUUAUCUGACCUCAGCUGACUAUUCCAUGGAAGGGCUUAGGAGUGAUUUGGAAACUGCAGAGGUGGAGUGCAAAUGUUGUGGUGUGUGGGUACAGCCUUUUAUCAGUAUCUUCAGUUUUGCUUUCCACCCUGUCACAGAAACUGUUUUAGCCAUUAAACUACAUAAGUACAUAAUUGCAUCAUUUAAGUCUUCAGGGGAGCUGAGAUCAAAAGCUGUCCAUGUUGAGGAGGGCAGUGUUUGUGGUGCUGGUGCUGUUUGCUCUCGUUCCUCUGAAUGAUGGCAGCUGCUGGCUGGGAUUUCUUAAAAAAGACGGGACUCACUGUCAGGAUAGUGUGGAUAGGACCUGGCAUGCUUUGGGAUCUGCCUGGACCAACAGCAGAUGUCAUAAUUGUGAAUGUAAUACUGAUUACAUGGCAUGCUGUACUGGAAUGCCAAUGGUGCACGUUACAGGCGACUGCACAGUGGUAUACGAUUAUGACACCUGUACAUCUGAUGUCAUUCAUAAGGAAAACGGCACAGUUCCAUGCACUGCCAUGAGCUCUGGAAAGUGAAAUAAAGUGAAAUUGGUGUAAAGAAAAGAAAGCCAAAUUCAGUAAUUCUACAUGUGAGAUAAAUUUAACCAAACAUUCUUAAUAAUGAAGGUUGAUAACUGAUACUGAGUUAUUUCUAGCUAGCUGGGAAAACUGUAUAGCUAAACUGCCUUAAAGAUAGUGUACUACAAUCUUUAGGACCUUAAUAAUGAUGGUGGAUUUGUGGCAUAUUAAAGAAAAUAUUUCUAUUCUG